rnacentral:rRNA from 1 species
AGAGUUUGAUCAUGGCUCAGGACGAACGCUGGCGGCACGCUUAACACAUGCAAGUCGAACGAGAGAAGAGGAGCUUGCUUUUCUGAUCUAGUGGCGGACGGGUGAGUAACACGUGAGCAAUCUGCCUUUCAGAGGGGGAUACCGAUUGGAAACGAUCGUUAAUACCGCAUAACAUAAUUGAACCGCAUGAUUUGAUUAUCAAAGAUUUAUCGCUGAAAGAUGAGCUCGCGUCUGAUUAGCUAGUUGGUAAGGUAACGGCUUACCAAGGCGACGAUCAGUAGCCGGACUGAGAGGUUGAUCGGCCACAUUGGGACUGAGACACGGCCCAGACUCCUACGGGAGGCAGCAGUGGGGAAUAUUGCACAAUGGAGGAAACUCUGAUGCAGCGAUGCCGCGUGAGGGAAGAAGGUUUUAGGAUUGUAAACCUCUGUCUUCAGGGACGAAAAAAGACGGUACCUGAGGAGGAAGCUCCGGCUAACUACGUGCCAGCAGCCGCGGUAAUACGUAGGGAGCGAGCGUUGUCCGGAAUUACUGGGUGUAAAGGGAGCGUAGGCGGGAUCGCAAGUCAGAUGUGAAAACUAUGGGCUUAACCCAUAAACUGCAUUUGAAACUGUGGUUCUUGAGUGAAGUAGAGGUAAGCGGAGUUCCUAGUGUAGCGGUGAAAUGCGUAGAUAUUAGGAGGAACAUCAGUGGCGAAGGCGGCUUACUGGGCUUUAACUGACGCUGAGGCUCGAAAGCGUGGGGAGCAAACAGGAUUAGAUACCCUGGUAGUCCACGCCGUAAACGAUGAUUACUAGGUGUGGGGGGACUGACCCCUUCCGUGCCGCAGCAAACGCAAUAAGUAAUCCACCUGGGGAGUACGACCGCAAGGUUGAAACUCAAAGGAAUUGACGGGGGCCCGCACAAGCAGUGGAGUAUGUGGAUUAAUUCGAAGCAACGCGAAGAACCUUACCAGGUCUUGACAUCGUAUGCAUAGCUCAGAGAUGAGUGAAAUCUCUUCGGAGACAUAUAGACAGGUGGUGCAUGGUUGUCGUCAGCUCGUGUCGUGAGAUGUUGGGUUAAGUCCCGCAACGAGCGCAACCCUUACUGUUAGUUGCUACGCAAGAGCACUCUAGCAGGACUGCCGUUGACAAAACGGAGGAAGGUGGGGAUGACGUCAAAUCAUCAUGCCCCUUAUGACCUGGGCCUCACACGUACUACAAUGGCUGUCAACAGAGGGAAGCAAAGCCGCGAGGUGGAGCGAACCCCUAAAAGCAGUCUUAGUUCGGAUUGUAGGCUGCAACCCGCCUACAUGAAGUCGGAAUUGCUAGUAAUCGCAGAUCAGCAUGCUGCGGUGAAUACGUUCCCGGGCCUUGUACACACCGCCCGUCACGCCAUGGGAGUCGGUAACACCCGAAGCCUGUAGUCUAACCGCAAGGAGGACGCAGUCGAAGGUGGGAUUGAUGACUGGGGUGAAGUCGUAACAAGGUA